rnacentral:rRNA from 1 species
UAGGGAAUCUUCCGCAAUGGACGCAAGUCUGACGGAGCAACGCCGCGUGAGUGAAGAAGGAUUUCGGUUCGUAAAACUCUGUUGUUAGAGAAGAACAGCGCAUAGAGUAACUGUUAUGCGUGUGACGGUAUCUAACCAGAAAGCCACGGCUAACUACGUGCCAGCAGCCGCGGUAAUACGUAGGUGGCAAGCGUUGUCCGGAUUUAUUGGGCGUAAAGCGAGCGCAGGCGGUCAAUUAAGUCUGAUGUGAAAGCCCCCGGCUCAACCGGGGAGGGUCAUUGGAAACUGGUUGACUUGAGUGCAGAAGAGGAGAGUGGAAUUCCAUGUGUAGCGGUGAAAUGCGUAGAUAUAUGGAGGAACACCAGUGGCGAAGGCGACUCUCUGGUCUGUAACUGACGCUGAGACUCGAAAGCGUGGGUAGCAAACAGG